GUCUUUAAGAUUUUAAUUUAAAGUCUAAUCUGCCCAAUGAAUUAUUUUUAAUGGCUGCAGAAUUUUAACUGUACUAAGGUAGCAUAAUAAUUUGUUUUUUAAUUAAAAACUAGAAUAAAAGAUUUAAUGAAAUAUAAACUUUUUCAAUUAAAUUAAUAAUUAAAUUUUUAUUUAAGUAAAAAAACUUAAAUAAUUUAUAAAGACGACAAGACCCUAUAGAAUUUUAUUUAUUUAAUUUAUUUAAUAAAUUAAAUAAAUUUUAUUGGGGUAAUAAAAAAAUUAAAUUAAUUUUUUUUUAAAAAUAACAUUUUAAAUGAAUUUUUUAUCUUAAUUUUUAAAUUAAAAAAAUUAAUUACCUUAGGGAUAACAGCAUAAUUUUUUUUAAAAGAUCAUAUUUAUAAAAAAGUUUAU
rnacentral:rRNA from 1 species